UACGAAGGGGGCUAGCGUUGCUCGGAAUGACUGGGCGUAAAGGGCGCGUAGGCGGAUGGCACAGUCAGAUGUGAAAUUCCCGGGCUUAACCUGGGGGCUGCAUUUGAUACGUGUUGUCUUGAGUUCGGAAGAGGGUCGUGGAAUUCCCAGUGUAGAGGUGAAAUUCGUAGAUAUUGGGAAGAACACCGGUGGCGAAGGCGGCUCACUGGCUCGUUUCUGACGCUCAGGCGCGACAGCGUGGGGAUCAAACAGG
rnacentral:rRNA from 1 species